rnacentral:rRNA from 1 species
UACGUAGGGUGCGAGCGUUAAUCGGAUUUACUGGGCGUAAAGCGUGCGCAGGCGGCCCGUUAAGACAGGUGUGAAAUCCCUGGGCUCAACCUAGGAAUUGCGCUUGUGACUGGCGGGCUCGAGUACGGUAGAGGGGGGUGGAAUUCCUGGUGUAGCAGUGAAAUGCGUAGAUAUCGGGAGGAACACCAGUGGCGAAGGCGGCUCUCUGGCCAGUUACUGACGCUCAGGUGCGAAAGCGUGGGGAGCAAACAGG